rnacentral:rRNA from 1 species
UACAGAGGGUGCAAGCGUUAAUCGGAAUUACUGGGCGUAAAGCGUGCGUAGGCGGUUAUGUAAGUCAGAUGUGAAAGCCCCGGGCUUAACCUGGGAAUGGCAUUUGAGACUGCAUAGCUAGGGUGCGGAAGAGGGAAGCGGAAUUUACGGUGUAGCGGUGAAAUGCGUAGAUAUCGGAAGGAACACCAGUGGCGAAAGCGGCUUCCUGGUCCAGCACCGACGUUCAGGCACGAAAGCGUGGGGAGCAAACAGG